AGUGGUCUGGAACUGAACCUGCAAUAUCUCUGAGGUGAAGGCGAAAGAGUCAGACAGACUUUGUGAAGUUCAAGAGGUCUACGGGCGAUGGGUUAGGAAGGGAGUUCAUGCCUAAAUAGGCAGAAAACUGAACAUGGUGAAGAGGGAAGCCCCAAGUGACCUAUGUGACCCAGCCAUCCAUCUGAGAUGCUGUUUUGUGUAACCAAGGGAAAGACUUUGUUCAUCGGCUAUGCCACGUUUGGAAGUGAAGCUGCGAGCAGGAAAGAGCAUACAGGAAAUAGAUGGAGACUGUGCCAGCCCCUGGAGAAGACCAGCCUAUUCUGGCUAUGUGACUGAUCUCAGGAGGUGACUCCCACCCACAUGGUGGGGAAACAGGAUAUCUUCUCCCAGAAGCAAGGUAGCUCCAUGUUACAUGACCUGGACAUGCGCAGAGUGAGCCCUGUUUGCACGUGCAUAAUGUGUGUGUUGUGUGUGUGUGUGUGUGUGUGUGUGUGU